rnacentral:misc_RNA from 1 species
CAUGAGUUGCAAAGACUCCCUAACCAUUGUGAACCUACCUAUACCUGUUGCUUCGGCGGGGGGCCAGCUGCCCCCCGGCCUUCCCCGCUGGGAGCCCCGCCGGAGGCAUUACCAAACUCUGUAAUUUAGUGGCCUUCUCUGAGUAUCUUUAUUGAAUAAGUCAC